UAAUACGUAGGGGGCGAGCGUUGUCCGGAAUCAUUGGGCGUAAAGCGCGUGUAGGCGGCCGACCAAGUCCGGUGUGAAAGCUCAGGGCUCAACCCUGAGUCUGCACUGGAAACUGGCCGGCUUGAGUCCGGAAGAGGAGACUGGAAUUCCUGGUGUAGCGGUGAAAUGCGCAGAUAUCAGGAAGAACACCGGUGGCGAAGGCGGGUCUCUGGGACGGUACUGACGCUGAGACGCGAAAGCGUGGGGAGCAAACAGG
rnacentral:rRNA from 1 species